rnacentral:rRNA from 1 species
UCCAUAGGUUAAUGAGGCGAACCGGGGGAACUGAAACAUCUAAGUACCCCGAGGAAAAGAAAUCAACCGAGAUUCCCCCAGUAGCGGCGAGCGAACGGGGAGGAGCCCAGAGCCUGAAUCAGUGUGUGUGUUAGUGGAAGCGUCUGGAAAGGCGCGCGAUACAGGGUGACAGCCCCGUACACAAAAAUGCACAUAUUGUGAGCUCGAUGAGUAGGGCGGGACACGUGGUAUCCUGUCUGAAUAUGGGGGGACCAUCCUCCAAGGCUAAAUACUCCUGACUGACCGAUAGUGAACCAGUACCGUGAGGGAAAGGCGAAAAGAACCCCGGCGAGGGGAGUGAAAAAGAACCUGAAACCGUGUACGUACAAGCAGUGGGAGCCUCUUAAUGGGGUGACUGCGUACCUUUUGUAUAAUGGGUCAGCGACUUAUAUUCUGUAGCAAGGUUAACCGAAUAGGGGAGCCGAAGGGAAACCGAGUCUUAACUGGGCGUUAAGUUGCAGGGUAUAGACCCGAAACCCGGUGAUCUAGCCAUGGGCAGGUUGAAGGUUGGGUAACACUAACUGGAGGACCGAACCGACUAAUGUUGAAAAAUUAGCGGAUGACUUGUGGCUGGGGGUGAAAGGCCAAUCAAACCGGGAGAUAGCUGGUUCUCCCCGAAAGCUAUUUAGGUAGCGCCUCGUGAAUUCAUCUCCGGGGGUAGAGCACUGUUUCGGCAAGGGGGUCAUCCCGACUUACCAACCCGAUGCAAACUGCGAAUACCGGAGAAUGUUAUCACGGGAGACACACGGCGGGUGCUAACGUCCGUCGUGAAGAGGGAAACAACCCAGACCGCCAGCUAAGGUCCCAAAGUCAUGGUUAAGUGGGAAACGAUGUGGGAAGGCCCAGACAGCCAGGAUGUUGGCUUAGAAGCAGCCAUCAUUUAAAGAAAGCGUAAUAGCUCACUGGUCGAGUCGGCCUGCGCGGAAGAUGUAACGGGGCUAAACCAUGCACCGAAGCUGCGGCAGCGACGCUUAUGCGUUGUUGGGUAGGGGAGCGUUCUGUAAGCCUGCGAAGGUGUGCUGUGAGGC